rnacentral:misc_RNA from 1 species
UUGGUCUUAGUAUAAGUCUAGCCGAGUUUUUGAUUGGAAAGGAGCAAUAACCAACACUCUUGAUAGAAAAAGAAAUUGGUUAUUGUUCCUUUAUUUAGUGCUCUUUUCUUUACAUAAGUUUUUCUUUACUUCAACAUAAGAAAAAGUAUUCUAGUCUUAGGGAUUGCUUUAUGAUUGCUUAUCAUACUUUUUUCCUUAGAUAUGAAUUUAUAUACAUUCUUUUCAACCCUUUGUAAGGCUUUGUGAGAUUAUUAUCUUCUAGUUUUUUUUUCAAAUAAAAUAGAAAGGUUAUAAUUUUCUGCUUCUUCUAUCUCAUAAUUAAGAUAGAAAAAUGUUACUCAUAAUUAAGUAUAGAAAAAUGUUACUCAUAAUUAAGUAUAGAAAAAUGUUAAAAAUUAACAAUCGAAUGAAAUAUUUUCCCAUUAUGAAUUUCUUUUUUUGAUUUCAUUAAAAAUGGAAUAUUCUUUUUUUUUCUUUUUAAAGGAUU